GGUUUCAGACACAUCACUCAUCUGCUUCGCGGAUCCCGUCAUACCCCUCUGCCUGGGACACUCACUGAAGGCAAUGCGUGCGCCGAUCGCGCGUUAUGUGGUCAGGACCAUUGUGGGUUCCAGGCCAGUGUGUGCGACCGGCACUGAAACAGCAUGGCGUGGCACCAGGGGCUGUUGAACCCCAUACCGGAGUUUCAGCUGACCUUGGAGGAGAAUGCGGUGCCUCCCAGGUCGACAAUGACAGGACUGAGACAGAGGAGACGUAGCGUCCCAAGCCAGCCCGUGACAUGGGGAGCAGUGAAAGCAUUGGUCGCCGCGGCUCAACGAAGACUGGCAGCAAACCAACAGCCAGAGACUCUUGAGACUUUGUUUGUUUGUGGCAAUUCUCACCCAAAUUACUGCUAAUUCUGUAUUAAUUGUAUGCCUUUUGUGCCUGCUAUUUCCUGGAGGGGUUGACUCGGGAGUGCCUUCUUCAUUACGGGCCCGAAUGACAUAUAACCUAUUGGAAAGAUUGGCUUCAAUAGCAAAUGUUACCCACUUUUGUUUGUUUGAUUUUGUAGCAGCUGAAGAAGUGUUAGGUACAUGCCUUAUUCCAGUAUGUCAUCACCCUGAGGAAAUGGGGAAUGAGAUGAUGCUCGCUGCUUACUCGAACCUCUCUUCCCAGUACUUUAGCAUGGCUAAUUGGGGCCUGGCCAAUCACACUUUACCUUCUUAAGCUUAUUUUUUGCUGUUGUUGUGUGCAAUGUAUUUCCUUUUUGUUAAGGCUUUGUUGAGACCCGCCCUGGCAGGCUCCACGAGUUAUGACCUUGUCUGUCCGGGA